rnacentral:rRNA from 1 species
AUUGAACGCUGGCGGCAGGCUUAACACAUGCAAGUCGAGCGGGGAAGGGUAGCUUGCUACCUAACCUAGCGGCGGACGGGUGAGUAAUGCUUAGGAAUCUGCCAUUUAGUGGGGGACAACAUUACGAAAGGAAUGCUAAUACCGCAUACGUCCUACGGGAGAAAGCAGGGGAUCUUCGGACCUUGCGCUAAAUGAUGAGCCUAAGUCGGAUUAGCUAGUUGGUGGGGUAAAGGCCUACCAAGGCGACGAUCUGUAGCGGGUCUGGGAGGAUGAUCCGCCACACUGGGACUGAGACACGGCCCAGACUCCUACGGGAGGCAGCAGUGGGGAAUAUUGGACAAUGGGCGGAAGCCUGAUCCAGCCAUGCCGCGUGUGUGAAGAAGGCCUUAUGGUUGUAAAGCACUUUAAGCGAGGAGGAGGCUACUUAGAUUAAUACUCUAGGAUAGUGGACGUUACUCGCAGAAUAAGCACCGGCUAACUCUGUGCCAGCCGCCGCGGUAAUAC